GAUUGGAUCAGCACAGAAUCAGAAUCAGCACAAGCGGACGUCUAGCAGCAAAAGUAACAACUCGAACUCUUCGCUUGGAGCAAAUAGCUCGAGGAGAAGCGGGAGGGUGAGACACCUGGAGGAAGAGAAGAGAAGGCAGGAGGAAAUCGAAGCAGAGAG
rnacentral:ribozyme from 1 species